rnacentral:rRNA from 1 species
UACGGGGGGGGCAAGCGUUGUUCGGAAUUACUGGGCGUAAAGAGCUCGUAGGCGGUUCGAUAAGUCGGGUGUGAAACCUCCAGGCUCAACCUGGAGACGCCACCCGAUACUGUCGUGACUAGAGUCCAGUAGGGGAGCGUGGAAUUCCUGGUGUAGCGGUGAAAUGCGCAGAUAUCAGGAGGAACACCAGCGGCGAAGGCGGCGCUCUGGGCUGGAACUGACGCUGAGGAGCGAAAGCGUGGGGAGCGAACAGG